rnacentral:rRNA from 1 species
UAGGGAAUCUUCCGCAAUGGACGAAAGUCUGACGGAGCAACGCCGCGUGAGUGAAGAAGGAUUUCGGUUCGUAAAACUCUGUUGUUAGGGAAGAAAAAAUGUAUAGUAACUAUAUACAAAAGAGACGGUACCUAACCAGAAAGCCACGGCUAACUACGUGCCAGCAGCCGCGGUAAUACGUAGGUGGCAAGCGUUGUCCGGAAUUAUUGGGGGUAAAGCGCGCGCAGGUGGUUUAGAAAGUAUGAUGUGAAAGCCCACGGCUCAACCGUGGAGAGUCAUUGGAAACUAAUGAACUUGAGUGGAGGAGAGAAAAGUGGAAUUCCUAGUGUAGCGGUGAAAUGCGUAGAGAUUAGGAGGAACACCGGUGGCGGAAGCGGCUUUUUGGCCUGCAACUGACUCUGAGGCGCGAAAGCGUGGGGAGCAAACAGG